rnacentral:rRNA from 1 species
CCUACGGGAGGCAGCAGUGAGGAAUAUUGGUCAAUGGCCGGAAGGCUGAACCAGCCAUGCCGCGUGAAGGUCAGUGCCCUAUGGGCGUUAAACUUCUUUUGUGCGGGAGCAAUAAUGGUCACGUGUGGCCAGACGAGAGUACCGUACGAAUAAGCAUCGGCUAACUCCGUGCCAGCAGCCGCGGUAAUACGGGGGAUGCAAGCGUUAUCCGGAUUUAUUGGGUUUAAAGGGUGCGUAGGUGGUGAGGUAAGUCAGCGGUGAAAUGCCCCCGCUCAACGGGGUGAAGUGCCAUUGAUACUGCCUUGCUUGAAUGCGGAUGCCGUGGGAGGAAUGUGUGGUGUAGCGGUGAAAUGCAGAGAUAUCACACAGAACACCGAUUGCGAAGGCAUCUCACGAAUCCGCGAUUGACGCUGAUGCACGAAAGCGUGGGUAUCAAACAGGAUUAGAGACCCUAGUAGUC